AACGAACGCUGGCGGCGUGCCUAACACAUGCAAGUCGAACGAAACGGUCGGGUCUUUGUGCGCACGGGGGGGUAAGGCGGGGGGAGCUACCCUUGGGUUCCGUAUAACUCCCCGAAAGGGGUGCUAAUGACGGUGGAUGUCUUCGGACCAAAGAGUUAUUGCCUUUGGAUGGGCCCGGGUUGGAUUCGGUGGUUGGUAGGGUAAAAGCAUACCAAGGGCACGAUGCAUAGCUGGUCUGAGAGGAUGCUUAGCCACAAUGGAGCUAAGACCCGGCCCAGACUCCUACGGGAGGCAGCAGUGGGGAAUAUUGGACAAGGGGCGAAAGUCUGAUCAAGCAAUGCCGGGUGAGUGAUGAAGGCCUUAGGGUAGUAAAGCUCUUUUACCCGGGAUGAUAAUGACAGUACCGGGAGAAUAAGCACCGGCUAACUACGUG
rnacentral:rRNA from 1 species